rnacentral:rRNA from 1 species
GGGUCAGUAGGUUGGUCGUGCCACCGGUACGUACUGGUCUCACUGAUUUCUCCUUCCUGAAGAACCGUAAUGCCAUUAAUUUGGUGUAGCGGGGAAACAGGACUGUUACUUUGAAAAAAUUAGAGUGUUUAAAGCAAGCUAACGCUUGAAUACAUUAGCAUGGAAUAAUGAAAUAGGACGAUCGAUCCUAUUUUGUUGGUUUCUAGGAUUGACGUA